rnacentral:rRNA from 1 species
GUAGGGGGGCAAGCGUUGUCCGGAUUUACUGGGCGUAAAGCGCGUGUAGGCGGCCGCACAGGUCCGUUGUGAAAACUGGGAGGGCUAACCUCCAGACGUCGACGGAAACCGUGUGGCUAGAGUCCCGGAAGAGGAGAGUGGAAUUCCUGGUGUAGCGGUGAAAUGCGCAGAUAUCAGGAAGAACACCAAUGGCGAAGGCAGCUCUCUGGGACGGUACUGACGCUGAGACGCGAAAGCGUGGGGAGCGAACAGGAUUAGAUACCCUGGUAGUCCACGCCGUAAACGAUGGGUGCUAGGUGUGGGAGGUGUCGACUCCUUCCGUGCCGUAGCUAACGCAUUAAGCACCCCGCCUGGGGAGUACGGCCGCAAGGCUA